rnacentral:rRNA from 1 species
CGCGGCCUAUCAGCUUGUUGGUGGGGUAACGGCCUACCAAGGCAGCGACGGGUAGCUGGUUUGAGAGAACGAUCAGCCACACUGGGACUGAGACACGGCCCAGACUCCUACGGGAGGCAGCAGUAGGGAAUCUUGCGCAAUGGGCGAAAGCCUGACGCAGCAACGCCGCGUGCGGGAUGACGGCCUUCGUGGUUGUAAACCGCUUUCAGCAGGGACGAAAAUGACGGUACCUGCAGAAGAAGGCCCGGCCAACUACGUGCCAGCAGCCGCGGUAACACGUAGGGGCCAAGCGUUGUCCGGAUUUAUUGGGCGUAAAGAGCUCGUAGGCGGUUCAGUUAGUCGGGUGUGAAAACUCUGGGCUCAACUCAGAGACGCCACCCGAUACUGCUGUGACUUGAGUCCGGUAGGGGAGCAGGGAAUUCCAGGUGUAGCGGUGAAAUGCGCAGAUAUCUGGAGGAACACCGGUGGCGAAGGCGCUGCUCUGGGCCGGUACUGACGCUGAGGAGCGAAAGCGUGGGUAGCAAACAGGAUUAGAUACCCUGGUAGUCCACGCCGUAAACGUUGGGCACUAGGUGUGGGUCUCAACCAACGGGAUCCGUGCCGUAGCUAACGCAUUAAGUGCCCCGCCUGGGGAGUACGG